rnacentral:miRNA from 1 species
UUUGUGACCGCCAUAAUGGGCA